UACGAAGGGGGCGAGCGUUGUUCGGAAUUACUGGGCGUAAAGGGCGCGUAGGCGGCGACUCAAGUUAGAUGUGAAAGUCCUGGGCUUAACCUGGGGACUGCAUUUGAUACUGGGUUGCUUGAAUUCGGGAGAGGAUAGCGGAAUUCCCAGUGUAGAGGUGAAAUUCGUAGAUAUUGGGAAGAACACCGGUGGCGAAGGCGGCUAUCUGGACCGGAACUGACGCUGAGGCGCGAAAGCGUGGGUAGCAAACGGG
rnacentral:rRNA from 1 species